GUCGAACGGCAGCACGGACUUCGGUCUGGUGGCGAGUGGCGAACGGGUGAGUAAUGUAUCGGAACGUGCCCAGUAGCGGGGGAUAACUACGCGAAAGCGUAGCUAAUACCGCAUACGCCCUACGGGGGAAAGCAGGGGAUCGUAAGACCUUGCACUAUUGGAGCGGCCGAUAUCGGAUUAGCUAGUUGGUGGGGUAACGGCUCACCAAGGCGACGAUCCGUAGCUGGUUUGAGAGGACGACCAGCCACACUGGGACUGAGACACGGCCCAGACUCCUACGGGAGGCAGCAGUGGGGAAUUUUGGACAAUGGGGGAAACCCUGAUCCAGCCAUCCCGCGUGUGCGAUGAAGGCCUUCGGGUUGUAAAGCACUUUUGGCAGGAAAGAAACGUCGUGGGUUAAUACCCCGCGAAACUGACGGUACCUGCAGAAUAAGCACCGGCUAACUACGUGCCAGCAGCCGCGGUAAUACGUAGGGUGCAAGCGUUAAUCGGAAUUACUGGGCGUAAAGCGUGCGCAGGCGGUUCGGAAAGAAAGAUGUGAAAUCCCAGAGCUUAACUUUGGAACUGCAUUUUUAACUACCGAGCUAGAGUGUGUCAGAGGGAGGUGGAAUUCCGCGUGUAGCAGUGAAAUGCGUAGAUAUGCGGAGGAACACCGAUGGCGAAGGCAGCCUCCUGGGAUAACACUGACGCUCAUGCACGAAAGCGUGGGGAGCAAAACAGGAUUAGAUACCCUGGUAGUCCACGCCCCUAAACGAUGUCAACUAGCUGUUUGGGGGCCUUCGGGCCUUGGUAGCGCACCUAACGCGUGAAAGUUGACCGCCUGGGGGAUUACGGUUCCCCAAGAUUAAAACUCAAAAGGAAUUUAACGGGGACCCCCCAAAAACCGGUGGAAUGAU
rnacentral:rRNA from 1 species